GACGAACGCUGGCGGCGUGCUUAACACAUGCAAGUCGAACGGAAAGGCCCUGCUUUUGUGGGGUGCUCGAGUGGCGAACGGGUGUGUAACACGUGAGUAACCUGCCCUUGACUUUCGGAUAACUUCAGGAAACUGGGGCUAAUAUCGGAUAGGAGCUCCUGCUGCAUGUUGUGGGUUGGAAAGUUUCGGCGGUUGGGGAUGGACUCGCGGCUUAUCAGCUUGUUGGUCGGGUAGUGGCUUACCAAGGCUUUGACGGGUAGCCGGCCUGAGAGGUUUACCGGCGACAUUGGGACUACGAGACGGCCCAGACUCCUACGGGAGGCAGCAGUGGGGAAUAUUGCACAAUGGGCGGAAGCCAGAUGCAGCAACGCCGGGUGCGGGAUGACGGCUUUCGGGUUGUAAACAGCUUUCGCCUGUGACGAGGCGUGAGUGACGGUAAUGGGUAAAGAAGCACCGGCUAACUACGUG
rnacentral:rRNA from 1 species